CAGAGUCAUAAAAAACUCCCAAACCCAUGUGAAUUUACCUUUGUUGCCUCGGCAGGUCCUACCCGGUAUCUACCCUGUAGCUACCCUGUAGCCUGCCGAUGGACCAUUAAACUCUUGUUAUUUUAAAUAUAUCUGAGCGUCUUAUUAAAUAAGUCA
rnacentral:misc_RNA from 1 species